AGCGUUCAUGCGCUGCGGGCGAUGUUGAAACUGAUUAAGUAGUUAUAUACUUCAAAAAAUAUCUGUCUCGCGAAACAGAGACUUCUACAUUUACUUUCGAUGAAAACGCCACGUUUGAGCCAUUUGAUAGAAAAACGAGAAUGAUUAAAAGCCACUCGGUUAAUUAACAUGGCGCUAAAAUGAUUCAUUUACACCUUCCGACGUGUCGGAAGCCGGUGUUGCUAGAAGAGUUACACGGUAUCGUUUGAAAACUAACGCCGUAAAACUGCCCGCUGUUUGGAUGACACGCUUCUUGAAUCAUGUGGUCCCAGACGCAAUCUCAAUAUUGGAUUCCUCAUGCAUUAUAUUCUUCAGAGCUAGCAUUUAAUAAGGUAAGUAAUUACUUAAACGUAUUUGACAUUCUUCUAGCUAAAAGAACUUGUGCAAACUUAAUUAUUAUGGUAAUGAGUUAGCGGAUAUACCUACAUCGAACACAAUAAACUCUGAAGAAACACCGAGCAACUUCGCAAAACUUGGCGAGUAGGGUUUUAUGGUUAGGCACUGGCAGUUAAAUGGCAGCGAACUACGAGAUUAAUUGUACCUACAAAGAGUUGAAUUAGUUCGUAACGAGGUCCAUUGUCCGUCUAUAUAAGUACUUGUUCAAUUCAGGAGAGGUAAUUAAGACUGAGAAGACCAUCUUCAGACGUGUUUUGAUUUUAAACCGACGAAAAAACGGACUGCAUAUAUAGUUGUUACGAAGUCUGUCUUAGUCCUAGUAGAAGCAUUUGCGGGCAGUAGGUACCUACGCAUUCAAACAUUCUCAUCCAGUAAAGAAUAGAAUGCUCAUCACAAGUUAUUACUUAUUUAAACGACAGGUAGUAACUUACAAGUUAUUCCUCAAUACUUAUUUACUGGUAAUUAGGUAUUUAAGUACGUUGACAUUUCCUUAUUUUAUCCUGACUCUGGGUUAUUUUAGUGUUUCUUAUUAAUUAGUACAUUAACUUAGAAUAAUAUAAGGGAUCUCUUCCAGUCUGUUGUGAGUUAAAGUUACAUUCGGAUUGCGACUGCAGCAGCGGUCCUGCUGCACUACUUCAUCGUUGCUGAUACAGCGUUAUUAGCAGCGGAAAAUGGUCGAUGUCACUGUCAAUUUCCCCGAUAAAUUGCGUCUUGCCGCAUUGCUGUCAUUAUUCAAACAUUCAAUUUAUGAUUCUUAAGAUAGAUUUGAUUAGAUUAGAUAAAGAAGAACAGAUUGAACGUUGAAUGAUACUGUAACAGUAAAGCUGCAUCAGAAAUACUGCUGCAGCGUGCAACAUAUAACAAAAGGUUGCAUCAGAAUGGAACCUUUCUUAAUAGUUAAUAUAGAUUUUCUAAUCAUAAUAAAAUUAUAUCUAUUAUAAAGUCUACAACGCGGUUAUUAGGCCGCCCAUAUCAUGGGUCAAUAAUGUACACCUAAUAAUAUCCACUGUACCUAGGGUUGCCAGAUGGUCGGGAUUUGGCGGGAUUCUCCCGAGUUUUAGCAUGUGUUCCCGAUUCCCGUCAAAUUUGUAAACUGUCCCGAAAAACAGCUUCACGUUAUAAAACAAUAAUUUCAAGUUCCGAACUAUCGUCGAGCGAGCGAGCUGACGUAGUGCCAAUAAUGUAAAAUAUCGUUGUUUUUAAUACAUUUACUUUAAGUUAAAUGUAUUUUUUUUCCCGACUUAAGUCCCAAAAUCCCGAAAAACUGAUAUUGUUUCCCGAUAAUAGCGCCUUUCGAUCUGGCAACCCUAACUGUACCAUAAGUUCUCGUGAAUAAACUUUCAAUUCAUUUCAUUUGGAUAGAGACACGCGUAUUCGGGAAACGAGAUAAUCACAAGAUAUAAUAGAAACGAUAUAGAGAUCAACUAGAUUUACAUUAGAUAUCGACUAGAUGUGACUUGGAUAUCUAAGUCAUAACUUGUCGAAAUCGUUCAAGGGGGCCUCCAGAAUCGCGGAAACGUCAAAUUUGACAUAUCUAUCUUACAAAUAUCUUUAAAUUAUCCUUAUCGUAACUUGUUGAGGUCUAGUAGAGAUCUAAUACAUUUUCAGAAUCGAGCCGGUAGUGCUCUCAACGAACCAGUUUUUCAAGUAAUGCCUAAAGUUGCAGAAACUUGGUGCUUCAAUUCUUUUUUUUUACUCUUUCACAUUAGGUAUAUAUGUUUAGUUACAUAUAGUAUUAUAGAGGAAUUUUAAGGUAGGUUAAGUUAUUACCUCUAACUCUCACUAACAACUACAUUACACGGUUGAUAUUUAGACAUUAGGUAUGUACCUACCUAGUACAGUCAAGGAAUUUAAAUUCCGACCCAUUUCGUACUUUGUCACAGUGACAAUCAAUAUGAAAGC